CUAAACUCUGUUGGGAUUUGCUAAACAAGGUAGUUAAUUUUAAUUCAAGAUUUAUCAAUGAGAACUCAGAGACGUGCAUGAUGUGCAGAGCCCUCUCACCGCCAAUCAUCGUACAGCGCAGUUUCAGUUGCCCAGCAACAGUCCAAUCUAGUAACUGAUUUCAGAACGAAGUUGUUUUUUUUCUUCUUUCAGUGAACUCGAUUACUUCGCACAAUAAUAGAAAUAUCUGCGUGUGAAAAUGGACAAAUGGUUAAGAUGGGUACAAUUGAAAAGAAGAGCAAUGAGAGAAUUAAUGAAUGUUGUCUUGCCAGUACCAGCGCACUUCCUGAAAUCACUGUCGAGGCAACUACUGACUCGACAUGCGACUUUCAGCCUGUGAAGCGAAACCUUGACACCGGGGACAAAACGGAAACUAUAUCGGAGACGUAAAUAUGACGUAAGAUACAUAGAAACGGGAUUUACUUGGACUAGAGUACCCUCAGCCACAAUGUGUUUUAUGUGGCGAAGUCCUAUCGAAUAACAGCCUAAACCAUCUCUUCUACGCAGACACUUGGAAACAAAACAUGAACAACACAAGGACAAACCACAUGAAUUUUUCAAGUGGACGCUGGCGCAGCUAAUGGCUUGCAAGAAAGUUUUACGUUCUGCUGCUGCUGCAGCAGCAGCAGAUGACAAUAUUAAGGCCCUUGAAGCAUCAUAUUUAGUAAAUUACAGAGUUGCAAAGUCAGGAAAACCGCACACCAUAGCAGAGGAACUAAUACUACCUGCGAAUGCAGACAUGGUAGGCACUAUCCUUGGGGAGAAGGCCCAAAAAGUGGUUCAGUUAGUGCCAUUAUCAAACAACACAGUGUCACGUCGAAUUGAUGACAUGGCCAAUGAUAUCCUAACUCAAUUACUGAACCGUGUGAUCAACAGCCAGUACUUUGCUCUCCAGCUGGACGAGUCCACGGACGUGGCAGGCUUAGCUCAACUUGUAGUGUACGUGCGGUACAUUUACGAAGGUGCAAUACAGGAGGACAUUUUGUUUUGCCAGCCACUGCCUACCAGAACAACAGGUGAGGAGAUUUUCCAGUUGCUUGACAGCUUUAUAAAUGAACAUAAUAUCGUCUGGACACAAUGUAUUGGCAUCUGUACUGAUGGAGCAAAGGCAGUGACGAGUAUCGGAGCAGUACUUAAAGGAGGUCCUGGACAAUGCUGUGAAGAUGGUAAACUUCAUAAAAGCUCGACCUUUGAAUUCCAGAAUCUUUUCCAAUCUAUGUAAUGACAUGGGAAGCGAGCAUGUAAAUCUGUUGCUCCACAUGGAGGUACGAUGACUUUCACGGGGCAAGGCACUGGCAUGUUUCUUUGAACUUUACUCUGAGGUCAAGGUAUUUUUUACAGACCACCCAUUCCCACUCUCUCACUGUCUGCAUGACACAGACUGGCUCUCACGACUGGGCUACUUGUCAGAUAUAUUCUCUCGCCUGAAUGAGCUAAACCUAGGACUUCAAGGGCUGAGUGUAACCAUCUUCAAUGUCCAGGACAAAUUUGAGGCAAUGAUUAAAAAAAAAAAAAGCUGGAAUUCUGGGCUUGUUGUGUGGAGAAAAACAACACUGAAAUUUUCCCAAGCAUGCAUGAAUUCCUGAUGAUGAAUGAACUAUAGUUGCAAGACGGUGUUAAAGGUGACAUCAAACAACAUGAAAAUUGAAAUGGCGAGGCAACUACGUGAGUACUUUCCCCCAAUGGAAAGUGCAAACAGCUGGGUCCGCUACCUUUUCGCAAAUUUCUCUGCAAUACCCAUGCCACAAGACUUGUCAAUAAAAGAACAAGAGAACCUCCUGGACAUGUCAACUAAUGGCGGACUCAAGACGGAGUUCCAACAAAAACAGUUGGCUGAGUUUUGGAUCCCCGAAUUGUUGAACAAGACUGUAAAAGUUUUAAUACCGUUUGCUACAACUUACCUGUGUGAAAGUGGAUUUUCGUCACUCACUGCAAAGACGUCAAAGUAUCGUCAGCGUCUUUCUGUCAAACAACUUACGACUCAAGAUAUCACCCAUCACUCCAAACAUUAUGCGCCUAUGCUCGAACAAACAAGCUCAUCAGUCACAUUAAUGGCAGCCAGUCAUACAGGAAGAUGAAAACAGACCUUUCGGCACAGGCGUCAGCUGACCCCGAGACUCCAGAGAUUGAUCCAGCUUCUUGUAACACCAUCCAGAUCACAGCAGCAGGGACUUCAGCAGCAUUGAGGUGUGGAACAAUCUGCCGGAUUGUAGCUCCAGCUGCUCACAGAACUGCUCUGUAAUACUGGAAUAUGGAAGACUCUCUGCAAUAAGUGCAACAAACAUCUUUUAUUGUGUUGCUGUUAACACUGCAGGUGUACACUUUCAUGCUGGUGAAUCAUCUUGUCAUUUUUUGGAGCAGAUUGUAUUUCAGAUACUACCUCCUGUCAAAACUGAAGAGCGCCCUUACAAGUAGAAAAAAAGAGGGGUCAAAUAUAAUCCACAUUGUAAAGGGAAACCGUUUAAAAAAAAAAAAAAAGUCUGUACUCAAGAAAUACUAUUAAGAGCUUCUGACGAUGUCCUCUUGGCAGGAAGAAAAAACUUUAUUUGUUGGUAUUUUUCAAAAAAGAUCUCCUUCCUGUGAGGUGGGGGGUGCGAUUCCCAAUAAUAAAAAACACAGGAUUAGUAGCUUGUCUAUUUGUUUUCUGUCAUUAAUUCACAGCCAUGCAGAAAGGCUCAAACAGAUUUUUAAGUAAAUAAGCUAUAUUUGGGACACCAGUCCGACUACACACACAAAAGUUAGGCAGAGCAGAGAAGUCCAGGUUCGUGGUAGUAUUGUGUACUCCAUAGAUUGCCAGUGCAACCACGUAAAGGCUGAUAAUCAUUUUGGUUGUUGCACAGGGUAAAAAAUGUCCUUAUAAACGAUAUUACAUGGCAUAGUUUUCUCAACUUGUUUCCGACCUGCAUUUGCAUAAUAACAGUGAAUUGGGAGGUGGUGUUGUUUCCUGCUUAUCUGCAGCACUCCUGUUCUAUUCUCCUGCUACCCCCUGAGUAUUGUUGACUCAGUCAUGUUACUUACUGGUUCCGUCUAGCCAGCAUCACAAGACUGCAAUGGCUCUUGUGACCUGCACACCUGGGCUCUCCACGCCUUUAAUGUGGGAAGCAGUCAUUGAGUUGCAUCCAGAUGGCACCGGUUAGCUCUUGCAGUUUCUGGGGAAUAGUGGUAAACGCAGUUUAAGCACCAAGAUUAUUGUGUGUAAUUGUAUUGGUCACUUUACAUUAUAGGGAGUAUUGCACUGUGUCCACCAAUGAAUUGUUCCCUUGAGACCCUGGGUGCCUAUGGCAUUCAUUUUAUAUCUUCAAAUGUGCUGUUUGUUUUAUAACUGUAUGAUCAUUAAGAGCACUAUAAUAAUUGCAUAAUAAUAGAUGGGUGUUUUGGACAGAUUGUAAAUCUCAUAUAAUCUAUACAUUUUGUGAAACUGCAAUAUUUCAAAAGUAAAUUAAAUAUAAUGUUUCUGAAAAUGCUGGUUUCCCAUUUUGAAAUGUAAUUUUUAAAGAAGCGUGAAUGAAGCAUGUUUAAACCUUUUUGUCCUUUGCUGUACUGCAUGUAAACAUACCCUGUGGGCUGUUCUACCCAGUUCAGUGAUUGCUUGUUUUUAUGGCUUUUUAUUUCAAUGUUUUAUGAUAAGAAUGUAUCUGCUUAUCUUGUCCUGGAAACAGAAAAUGAAAGGUCUUUCGAACACUUGGCAGUGAACACUUAGCAGUGAACAGCCACUUCCUUGAACUUGAACUCAGACAGCCUGUAGAGACGCACAUCCUUCAAGUUUAUUUUUUAAUCAACCGUCAUAGACCUCUGUUUUACAUAUUUUAUUUAACAUGCAUGUUUUCUUGGUUAUUCUUUGUGGACAGGAUUUUCAAGCAACUUUUACACAGACAUUCUAUUAAUUUCAAUAUUUUCUAUGAAGAACACUCUAUUCUAUUUUGUGUGUAGUGCUAUAUGUUGAUAGCCAUUUUUGUAAGUUAUUUUUGUACAUGAACUGUAAUAAGUUUCUUUAAGUAUUAAAAUUCUUUGAAUGUUCAA